UACGUAGGGUGCAAGCGUUAAUCGGAAUUACUGGGCGUAAAGCGUGCGCAGGCGGUUUUGUAAGUCAGAUGUGAAAUCCCCGGGCUUAACCUGGGAACUGCGUUUGAAACUACAAGGCUAGAGUGUGACAGAGGGGGGUGGAAUUCCACGUGUAGCAGUGAAAUGCGUAGAGAUGUGGAGGAACACCGAUGGCGAAGGCAGCCCCCUGGGUUAACACUGACGCUCAGGCACGAAAGCGUGGGGAGCAAAAGGG
rnacentral:rRNA from 1 species